CGGGAACUCUUCUCGUCGCAAAAUUUACUUUCGGUUUUAUUCAGUAUUAAAAUGUGAUGUAUAAAUGUUUAUUCUAAUUGCAUCUAGAAGACAAUUCGAUAUUCUAUUGUUUUACGAUGGGCCCAAUAUACUUUUUAACCAUGCGUAAAAUCCAGAUAUCGUACAACAACUCAACUUCCUAAAUGACCAAGGUUAAACGAUAGGUCCAGAUGGUAAAGGGACACACGGACCUGACGCUGUGCUGUCGAUGGUAGACUGGACAUUGCAAAAUCAAGUUAAUCAGACUCCUGCCUUGUCGAUACACUCGGUUGAAAUAAGAACCGUUACGAUUUUUGUGGCACUUAAAGACUGGACAGAAUGAAAAUGUCGAGUAUCAUAUGAAAGUACCGGGUACUGAUUCAAGAAACCUUCAUUUCUUACU